rnacentral:miRNA from 1 species
AUUGAGGUUGGUGCAAAAGUAACUGCAGCUUUUGCCAUUAAUGCUUUUAAUUAAUGCUUUUAAUGGCAAAAGCCGCAAUUACUUUUGCACCAACCUCAUAGUAG